UACGAAGGGUGCAAACGUUGCUCGGAAUUAUUGGGCGUAAAGAGCUCGUAGGCGGCUUGUCACGUCGGGUGUGAAAGCCCGGGGCUUAACCCCGGGUCUGCAUUCGAUACAGGCAGGCUAGAGUGUGGUAGGGGAGAUCGGAAUUCCUGGUGUAGCGGUGAAAUGCGCAGGUAUCAGGAGGAACACCGGUGGCGAAGGCGGCAUCCUGGACCAAUAUUGACGCUGAGGAGCGAAAGCCAGGGGAGCAAACGGG
rnacentral:rRNA from 1 species